UCGAUAUUUUAAAGUUCGGACGUGAAGACAAAUGGACGUGAAACAAAACGAAGAAAUCGUAAUGUCUGUCGCUAAUAAAUAAUGAUGGUAACAAUAAAAAAAAAACGCGAUCGAUUGAAAUGUAAAUAACGACGACGACGACGACGAUGAUAACGACGACGAUGACGAAUGACGGUGACAAUGACGACGACGACGACGACGACGAAUGACAAGAAUGAUGAUGAUGAUGAUGAUGAUAUAGAUUAUAAUAAUGAUACAAUAACGAGGAAGAACGGUAAAUAAUUAAAUAGUUAACGAAUAAUUAACGACAAUGAGUAAUAAAAUAAAUUAUAACGAUUAAGUAAUUAUUAACAAUUAUUAAAAAGAAACAAAAAAAAAAAACAAUAACGUUAACGAUAGAAUGAUUACGAUUGCAGUUAUUGUUACACGUUCGAUGUGUCGCAUGCAUUCGAACAUACACGCACAUAUAUACACAAUACAUGCAACAUAUAACACAGGAAUAAUAAAUUAUUUCGAAAAAUAAAUGAAAAAUGUGUACGAUGCGUAUAAAGGGAUUGUAGCGUAAUGGAGCGAGAAUGUGCGAAAGCUGGAGCGAAUGGGACGCGUGAAUAUAAUAUAAUUGAAGAAAUUGAAGAGAGGAAGUCUGAAAAUGGUAUAAGUCUCAAGAAAAAAAAACCAAAAAAAAAAAAAAAACGAUAUAACACAAAAUGCAAGCACAUGUUCCCGUAUAAGCCAUUAAACGAUUAACGAAAUAUUAAAAAAACAAAAAAAGACAUAGGUAGAUAGUAUUUCGGUCGUGACAGAAAAAAAAUACGGAGGACAUACGAAACACGAAUCGCAAGAUUUGAGCAACUUGAGUGCCGAAUCGAUAUGAGAGAGAGAGAAGAGAGAGAGAGAGAGAGAGAGAGAGAGAGAGAGAGAAGAAAGACACGAGGAAAAGGAAACAUGGGAUGAAUAAAAGCUGACUAUCCGGUGGAAGUUCGAAAAAAAAGAAGAAAGAAUAAGUUUGAGCAGUAAUUGAAGUUUUGAUAGGAGCUAGCCAAGUGAAUGAAAAAAUGAGAGAAAUGGAAGAGUGAGAGAAGAGUGGUGCGAUAAAAUCGCGGUGAGAGAAAGAGGAUGACACGUUAUAUGGGAGGACGGGAAAGGAGAGGAGAGGGAGGGGAGGUUGAAAUGUUGAUGGGGAUGGGUGCACGUGUGCGUGUACGUGCAUACAAUGUGUGUGCGUAGCGGAGGGAGAGAGGCAAGAGGACCACAGACUACGUAUUGAUCUCGGCCAACGUAGAGCUCUCGCAUAAAACAGGGCAGCUACGUCGACGUUGAUGCCGACAUCUACGUAGUCGUAGUAAUUGUGGUGGUAUCGUAACUGGCUACGUCCUCCCGUUACUUCGAUUAUUACGUCCUCUCAAGACUUAUAUCUACCAUUGUCGAUGAAAAAAAAAAAAAAGAAAAAAAUUGACA
rnacentral:lncRNA from 1 species